AGCUUGCUUGGCCCCAAAUCCUUUUAAAAGCUGCCCAAGCCCACAUACCUUGGUCUAUUUUAAUCAAGGGAGGAACUGGGGCCUGCCGCCAGCCCCGCCUCCACACGUUUAAGGGCCCAGGCUAAUUGUUUCCUCUCUUUCUUGUUAGGAAUUGUCUUUGGAGCUCUAUCUUCUUUCCAGCCGCCCUGGGGGGUUGGGGUGGGGGAGUGGUCAGAAAGAGGAAGAAUUUGGCUGACCAUUGGCCUCGCCUCCAUUCCUCCCUGGGGACUCCGACCACAUCCUGGCUCAGCUGGGAGCGCGCUGAGACACGGGGUGGGAAGUCAGUACUGAACAUUUAUUUGGAAGGACUGAUGCUGAAAAUGAAUCUGCAAUACUUUGGCCACCUGAUAGGAAGAACUGACUCAUUUGAAAAGACCCUGAUGCUGGGAAAGAUUGAAGGUGGGAGGAGAAGGGGACAACAGAGGAUGAGAUGGUCGGAUGGCAUCACCGAUUCGAUGGACAUGAGUU
ensembl:lncRNA